AUCUAUGAUGGAAUACUAUAAUUAUUACUUCCAUUAUAGACGGGGGGAGCCAAAUCCUUAUACCUGUUGCGGUCGUUUGAGCCAGCAGAUAGGGUGGAUCAACUGGUGAGAAUUUGGGGAUUCAGUUUAUAUUACAUUCGAGUUUUACGGGUGGCCCUCGGUACAUGGUGCUUAAUUACCAUGAUGGUAUGGCUAUUUGUCGCGAAUAUGGUGCUCCCGAUCUUUUUGUCACUUUUACAUGCAAUCCAAAGUGGCAAGAAGUUGUUGAUGCUCUCGCAUAUGAAGGUGGUCAGACUCACGUUGAUCGUCCUGACAUUGUUACGCGUGUUUUCAAUAUAAAAUUUGAAGAAUUUUUAGAAGAUGUAAAGGAUGGAUCAGCAUUUGGAGCUAUUCAAGCUUAUUUGUAUGUGGUGGAAUUUCAAAAGAGAGGGCUUCCUCAUACUCAUACUCUUAUCUGGC